UGCCCAGCAACUCCUAUCCCUACCUCCUCGUGGGAUAGGUAGCCAACCCCAGUGGGAACUUUGGUCAUAGGCUGACAGGGAGGG
rnacentral:ribozyme from 1 species